CGGAAGCAGAGAUGGGAGAUGAGGAACCAAGCCCUAGAUCUAUUCUCAACUGAUAUCUCCUUCAUCUCUCUCAAGAAAUCCACUAAUUUUUACCUCCAUCGUCACUCCCAUCUCAUCUUUCCAUCUUUGUCAAGUGAUCUAAAAGCUUCAUUUUGAAUUAUCAUCUAUCUUCAACAAGAACCGGGCAUCGGUACAGCGCGGAGACGAAAACUUUUGACUGGAGCGAAGAGCAAUGGAUUGAAUUAGACAAGUGGUUGGAUGAGAAGGCACUGCUCAUGACUCGAGAGUGUUGACUGAGGCAGUGCGUGAUCCAUCUUUCAAGUUUCUUUUACCUCCACAAGACAAAUAUUAUCUGUGCGAUGCUACGUACUUUCUACGCCGCAAUGCAUGGAUGACUGGUUGUUUAAACAAUAUGAGGACGAGGCCCUUGAGAUGAAUGAAAUACAGGUGGAAGCGGAAACGGAAGAAAAUGCACCUUGUCUCUUUGGAAGACGAGCAAAUAUAUAUGAACAAUUUACGUGAUAAGAUAGCUAGUCUCCUUUAGAUUUAUUAUUUCUUUUAUGUUUUUAGGACUUACAUCUUUAGAUUUUAUUUGUUUGUGAUGUCGAAUAUGUUUAAUUCCAUCGAAAAUGAAAGUUUUUUAGAGUGCAAUGGAACAAUUUGUGAUGUUUUAGUA